rnacentral:lncRNA from 1 species
GUGGUCAGCUUUCAAAAGAAGGUGGUCGGCACACCAAGCUUAAAUGCCAAAUGGAAAACACUGUUAAGAAUGGUAAAAGCCCAGUUUUAUGAGUAUUGCCAAGCCCAGUGGGAAAUACUUUAUCUGUAUGAAAUGUAAAUUUUUAGUAAUGAUAUUAUGAAACUAUUUUAUUUCUUUGCUACUUUUUGUUAAAAUUAACUUACAAAUUUUAUCGUAUCAUUUCAGCAUUGUUCAUGGAAACAGGAGUAUUGCCCUUUCCCAGCUCAGGUAGUCUUUGCCAACCUUGACAUAUAUCAUUUUUUAAAUACUGUAAAAAAAAGUGUAAUCAUUCACACAUGGACUAGUAAAAUUAAAUUUAAAUAUUCAACAAACAAUGACUAGCACAUUUCAAAGAUAGAGCUUUUUUUCUGUACAAAAAUGAAAGAAAUUUCAGAAUAGAAAAGUGAAAAAGGACUCAAG